rnacentral:lncRNA from 1 species
AUGGAGGUUCAUGACACUGUACAGGAGACAGGGAUCAAGACCAUCCCCAUGGAAAAGAAAUGCAAAAAAGCAAAAUGGCUAUCUGAGGAGGCCUCACAAAUAGCUGUGAAAAGAAGAGAAGUGAAAAGCAAAGGAGAAAAGGAAAGAUAUUCCUAUUUGAAUGCAGAGUUCCAAAGAAUAGCAAGGAGAGAUAAGAAAGCCUUCCUCAGCGAUCAAUGCAAGGAAAUAGAGGAAAUCAACAGAAUGGGGAAGACUAGAGAUCUCUUCAAGAAAAUUAGAGAUACCAAGGGAACAUUUCAUGCAAAGAUGGGCUCGAUAAAGGACAGAAAUUGUAUGGACCUAACAGAAGCAGAAGAUAUUAAGAAGAGGUGGCAAGAAUACACAGAAGAACUGUACAAAAAAGAUCUUCACGACCAAGAUAAUCACAAUGGUGUGAUCACUGACCUAGAGCCAGACAUCCUGGAAUGUGAAGUCAAGUGGGCCUUAGGAAGCAUCACUAUGAACAAAGCUAGUGGAGGUGAUGGAAUUCCAGUUGAGCUAUUUCAAAUCCUGAAAGAUGAUGCUGUGAAAGUGCUGCACUCAAUAUGCCAGCAAAUUUGGAAAACUCAGCCGUGGCCACAGGACUGGAAAAGGUCAGUUUUCAUUCCAAUCCCAAAGAAAGGCAAUGCCAAAGAAUGCUCAAACUACCGCACAAUUGCACUCAUCUCACACUCUAGUAAAGCGAUACUCAAAAUUCUCCAAGCCAGGCUUCAGCAAUACGUGAACCAUGAACUUCCAGAUGUUCAAGCUGGUUUUAGAAAAGACAGAGGAACCAGAGAUCAAAUUGCCAACAUCCGCUGGAUCAUCGAAAAAGCAAGAGAGUUCCAGAAAACCAUCUAUUUCUGCUUUAUUGACUAUGCCAAAGCCUUUGACUGUGUGGAUCACAAUAAACUGUGGAAAAUUCUUCAAGAGAUGGGAAUACCAGACCCCCUGACCUGCCUCUUGAGAAACCUAUAUGCAGGUCAGGAAGCAACAGUUUGA